GCUACGGGUGGCUGCAGUGAGGAAUAUUGGUCAAUGGGCGCGAGCCUGAACCAGCCAAGUCGCGUGAGGGAAGACGGUCCUAUGGAUUGUAAACCUCUUUUGUCGGGGAGCAAAAGACGCCACGCGUGGCGUUCCGAGAGUACCCGAAGAAAAAGCAUCGGCUAACUCCGUGCCAGCAGCCGCGGUAAUACGGAGGAUGCGAGCGUUAUCCGGUUUUAUUGGGUUUAAAGGGUGCGCAGGCGGAAGAUCAAGUCGGCGGUAAGAUUGAGAGGCUCAACCUCUUCGAGCCGUUGAAACGGGUUUGCUUGAGUGAGUGAGAAGGAUGAGGAAUGCGUGGGGGAGCGGUGAAAGGCAUAGAUAUCACGCAGAACUCCGAGUGAGAAGGCAGCAUACCGGCGCUCAACUGACGCUCAUGCACGAAAGUGUGGGUAUCGAACAGGAUGAGAGACCGCUGUAGUG
rnacentral:rRNA from 1 species